rnacentral:rRNA from 1 species
UAGCAAGUCGAACGAACUCUGGUAUUGAUUGGUGCUUGCAUCAUGAUUUACAUUUGAGUGAGUGGCGAACUGGUGAGUAACACGUGGGAAACCUGCCCAGAAGCGGGGGAUAACACCUGGAAACAGAUGCUAAUACCGCAUAACAACUUGGACCGCAUGGUCCGAGCUUGAAAGAUGGCUUCGGCUAUCACUUUUGGAUGGUCCCGCGGCGUAUUAGCUAGAUGGUGGGGUAACGGCUCACCAUGGCAAUGAUACGUAGCCGACCUGAGAGGGUAAUCGGCCACAUUGGGACUGAGACACGGCCCAAACUCCUACGGGAGGCAGCAGUAGGGAAUCUUCCACAAUGGACGAAAGUCUGAUGGAGCAACGCCGCGUGAGUGAAGAAGGGUUUCGGCUCGUAAAACUCUGUUGUUAAAGAAGAACAUAUCUGAGAGUAACUGUUCAGGUAUUGACGGUAUUUAACCAGAAAGCCACGGCUAACUACGUGCCAGCAGCCGCGGUAAUACGUAGGUGGCAAGCGUUGUCCGGAUUUAUUGGGCGUAAAGCGAGCGCAGGCGGUUUUUUAAGUCUGAUGUGAAAGCCUUCGGCUCAACCGAAGAAGUGCAUCGGAAACUGGGAAACUUGAGUGCAGAAGAGGACAGUGGAACUCCAUGUGUAGCGGUGAAAUGCGUAGAUAUAUGGAAGAACACCAGUGGCGAAGGCGGCUGUCUGGUCUGUAACUGACGCUGAGGCUCGAAAGUAUGGGUAGCAAACAGGAUUAGAUACCCUGGUAGUCCAUACCGUAAACGAUGAAUGCUAAGUGUUGGAGGGUUUCCGCCCUUCAGUGCUGCAGCUAACGCAUUAAGCAUUCCGCCUGGGGAGUACGGCCGCAAGGCUGAAACUCAAAGGAAUUGACGGGGGCCCGCACAAGCGGUGGAGCAUGUGGUUUAAUUCGAAGCUACGCGAAGAACCUUACCAGGUCUUGACAUACUAUGCAAAUCUAAGAGAUUAGACGUUCCCUUCGGGGACAUGGAUACAGGUGGUGCAUGGUUGUCGUCAGCUCGUGUCGUGAGAUGUUGGGUUAGUCCCCAACGAGCGCAACCCUUAUUAUCAGUUGCCAGCAUUAAGUUGGGCCUCUGGUGAAACGCCGGUGACAACCGGAGGAAGGUGGGAUGACUUCAAUCAUCUGCCCCUUAGACUGGGCUACCCCGGGCUAAAUGGAGGGACACCAGUUGGAACCGCGAAAUAACUAUCCCUAAGCCUUCCCAUUCGAUGGAGCUGCACUCCCUACUGAAUCGAACCUUUAAUCCGGAACCCUGCCGGGGAAAUUCCGUGUUUUCCGCCCUAAAAAAA